AGCAGCCGCGGUAAUUCCAGCUCCAAUAGCGUAUAUUAAAGUUGUUGCAGUUAAAAAGCUCGUAGUUGAAUUUCGGGGUCAGUAGGUCGGUCGUGCCACUGGUAUGAACUGGUUUUACUGAUUCCUCCCUCUUGAAGAACUGUAAUGCCAUUAAUUUGGUGUUGCAGGGAAUCAGGACUGUUACUUUGGAAAAUUAGAGUGUUUAAAGCAGGCUUUAGCUUGAAUACAUUAGCAUGGAAUAAUGAAAUAGGACGUUUGAUCCUAUUUUGUUGGUUUCUAGGAUUGACGUAAUGAUUAAUAGGGAUAGUUGGGGGCAUUAGUAUUCAAUUGUCAGAGGUGAAAUUCUUGGAUUUAUUGAAGACUAACUACUGCGAAAGCAUUUGCCAAGGAUGUUUUCAUUAAUCAAGAACGAAAGUUAGGGGAUCGAAGACGAUCAGAUACCGUCGUAGUCUUAACCAUAAACUAUGCCGACUAGGGAUCGGAUGAUGUUAAUUUUUUCAAUGACUCAUUCGGCGCCUUA
rnacentral:rRNA from 1 species